rnacentral:rRNA from 1 species
AGCUAUAUGAACUAAUGUAUAGUUACUUCUGCUCCAUGAUUAUUAAAUAGCCGCAGUACUCUGACUGUGCAAAGGUAGCAUAAUCAAUUGGCUUUUAAUUAAAGUCUGGUAUGAACGAACGUAUGGGUGGAAACUGUCUUAGUAUAUUAAUUUGAACUUAUUAAGCAAGUGCAAAUACUUGCAAGUUUAAAAAAGACGAGAAGACCCUAGAAACUUGGAAUAGUUUUUGUUGGGGCGACAGAAUUACAUUUAACUAAUUCUUAUGACAUGACACUUAGUUGGUAGAAUAAGUUACUCUAGGGAUAACAGCAUAAUUUAAACAGUUUGUGACCUCGAUGUUGGACUAGGUAUUAUACCCUUAAGGCAAGGGUAUAAGAUGCUCUGUUCGAGCAAUUUUACCUACAU